rnacentral:rRNA from 1 species
AGGGCACCCCCCGGAGUGGAGCCCGGGGCUUAAUUUGACUCAACCCGGGAAAACUCACCCGGGCCGGACACCGGAAGGAUUGACAGAAUGAAAGCUCUUUCUUAGUUCCGUGGGUGGGGGUGCAUGGCCGUUCUUAGUUGGGGGAACGAUUUGGCUGGGUAAUUCCCAAAACCAACGAAACUCCUGCCUAUUGAAUAGUCCGUGUAUCUUUCAGUACUCCGUACUUCUUAGAGGGACAAGCGGCGUCUAGCCGCAUGAGAUUGACCAAUAACAGGUCUGUGAUGCCCUUACAUGUCCGGCGCUGCACGCGCGCUACACUGAAAGAGUCGAUGUGCGUCUCCUCCUAGCCCGGAAGGACUGGAUAACCCCACCAACUUCUUUCGCGCUGGGAAUGGGAUAUUGCAUUUAUAUCACUUGAACUAAGAGAUCACAGUCAGCGUGGGUCAUGACCUCGCGUUGAUUACAUCACUGCCCUGUGUACACACCGCCCGUCGCUACUACAGAUUGGAUGAUUCGAUG